AGAGUUUGAUCCUGGCUCAGAAUCAACGCUGGCGGCGUGCCUAACACAUGCAAGUCGAACGCGAAAGGGGCUUCGGCCCUGAGUAGAGUGGCAAACGGGUGAGUAACACGUGGGUGACCUGCCUUCGAGUGGGGGAUAACGUUUCGAAAGGAACGCUAAUACCGCAUAACAUCCUGCUCUUGAACGAGUGGAGAUCAAAGCCGGGGACCGCGAGGCCUGGCGCUUGGAGAGGGGCCCGCGCCGGAUUAGCUAGUUGGUGAGGUAACGGCCCACCAAGGCGACGAUCCGUAGCCGGCCUGAGAGGGCGGACGGCCACACUGGGACUGAGACACGGCCCAGACUCCUACGGGAGGCAGCAGUGGGGAAUUGUUCGCAAUGGACGCAAGUCUGACGACGCAACGCCGCGUGGAGGACGAAGAUCUUCGGAUCGUAAACUCCUGUCGAGUGGGACGAACGGCCCGGGACCCAACACGUUCUGGGAGUGACGGUACCACUAAAGGAAGCCCCGGCUAACUCCGUGCCAGCAGCCGCGGUAAUACGGGGGGGGCCAGCGUUGUUCGGAAUUACUGGGCGUAAAGGGCGCGUAGGCGGCCUUCUAAGUCGGACGUGAAAUCCCUCGGCUCAACCGGGGAACUGCGUCUGAUACUGGAAGGCUUGAAUUCGGGAGAGGGAUGCGGAAUUCCAGGUGUAGCGGUGAAAUGCGUAGAUAUCUGGAGGAACACCGGUGGCGAAGGCGGCAUCCUGGACCGAUAUUGACGCUGAGGCGCGAAAGCUAGGGGAGCAAACGGGAUUAGAUACCC
rnacentral:rRNA from 1 species